rnacentral:rRNA from 1 species
GCUCAGAAACUUAAAGGAAUUGACGGGGGCCCGCACAAGCGGAGGAACAUGUGGUUUAAUUCGAUGAUACGCGAGGAACCUUACCCGGGCUUGAAAUGCAUCUGACCGGCCUUGAAAGAGGUUUUCCCUUCGGGGCAGAUGUGUAGGUGCUGCAUGGUUGUCGUCAGCUCGUGCCGUGAGGUGUCGGCUUAAGUGCCAUAACGAGCGCAACCCUCAUCAUUAGUUACCAUCAGGUAAGGCUGGGGACUCUAAUGAGACUGCCAUCGUAAGAUGUGAGGAAGGUGGGGAUGACGUCAAAUCAGCACGGCCCUUACGUCCAGGGCUACACACGUGCUACAAUGGCCGAUACAGAGGGCAGCUACCUGGUGACAGGAUGCAAAUCUCCAAAGUCGGUCUCAGUUCGGAUCGGAGUCUGCAACCCGACUCCGUGAAGUUGGAUUCGCUAGUAAUCGCGCAUCAGCCAUGGCGCGGUGAAUACGUUCCCGGGCCUU